rnacentral:rRNA from 1 species
UAGGAUGGGACUGCGGCCUAUCAGCUUGUUGGUGAGGUAAUGGCCCACCAAGGCUAUUACAGGUACGGGCUCUGAGAGGAGAAGCCCGGAGAUGGGUACUGAGACACGGACCCAGGCCCUAUGGGGCGCAGCAGGCGAGAAACCUUUGCAAUGUGCGCAAGCACGACAAGGUUAAUCCGAGUGUUUCCUGCUAAAGGAAUCUUUUGUUAGUUCUAAAACCACUGAUGAAUAAGGGGUGGGCAAGUUCUGGUGUCAGCCGCCGCGGUAAAACCAGCACCUCAAGUGGUCAGGAGGAUUAUUGGGCCUAAAGCAUCCGUAGCCGGUUCUGUAAGUUUCCGGUUAAAUCCACUAGCUCAACUAAUGGGCUGCCGGAAAUACUGCAGAACUAGGGAGUGGGAGAGGUAGACGGUACUCGGGAGGAAGGGGUAAAAUCCUUUGAUCUCUUGAUGACCACCUGUGGCGAAGGCGGUCUACCAGAACACGUUCGACGGUGAGGGAUGAAAGCUGGGGGAGCAAACCGGAUUAGAUACCCGGGUAGUCCCAGCUGUAAACGAUGCAGACUCGGUGAUGCACUGGCUUUUGGCCAGUGCAGUGCCGCAGGGAAGCCGUUAAGUUUGCCGCCUGGGAAGUACGUACGCAAGUAUGAAACUUAAAGGAAUUGGCGGGGGAGCACCACAAGGGGUGAAGCCUGCGGUUC